UACAGAGGUCUCAAGCGUUUGUUCGGAUUCAUUGGGCGUAAAGGGUGCGUAGGCGGCGCGGUAAGUCGGGUGUGAAAUCUCGGAGCUUAACUCCGAAACUGCAUUCGAUACUGCCGUGCUUGAGGACUUGGAGAGGAGACUGGAAUUUACGGUGUAGCGGUGAAAUGCGUAGAUAUCGUAAGGAAGACCAGUGGCGAAGGCGGGUCUCUGGACAGUUCCUGACGCUGGAGGCACGAAGGCCAGGGGAGCAAACGGG
rnacentral:rRNA from 1 species